UUUGCCCUACGGGAGGCAGCAGUAGGGAAUCUUCCACAAUGGACGAAAGUCUGAUGGAGCAACGCCGCGUGAGUGAAGAAGGGUUUCGGCUCGUAAAGCUCUGUUGGUAGUGAAGAAAGAUAGAGGUAGUAACUGGCCUUUAUUUGACGGUAAUUACUUAGAAAGUCACGGCUAACUACGUGCCAGCAGCCGCGGUAAUACGUAGGUGGCAAGCGUUGUCCGGCUUUAUUUGGCGUAAA
rnacentral:rRNA from 1 species